AGUGGCGGACGGGUUAGUAACGCGUGGGAACGUGCCCUUCUCUACGGAACAGUCCCGGGAAACUGGGUUUAAUACCGUAUACGCCCUUCGGGGGAAAGAUUUAUCGGAGAAGGAUCGGCCCGCGUCUGAUUAGAUAGUUGGUGGGGUAACGGCCUACCAAGUCGACGAUCAGUAGCUGGUUUGAGAGGAUGAUCAGCAACACUGGGACUGAGACACGGCCCAGACUCCUACGGGAGGCAGCAGUGGGGAAUCUUAGACAAUGGGCGCAAGCCUGAUCUAGCCAUGCCGCGUGAGUGAUGAAGGCCUUAGGGUCGUAAAGCUCUUUCGCUGGGGAAGAUAAUGACGGUACCCAGUAAAGAAACCCCGGCUAACUCCGUGCCAGCAGCCGCGGUAAUACGGAGGGGGUUAGCGUUGUUCGGAAUUACUGGGCGUAAAGCGCGCGUAGGCGGAUUAGAAAGUUGGGGGUGAAAUCCCGGGGCUCAACCCCGGAACUGCCUCCAAAACUACUAGUCUAGAGGUCGAGAGAGGUGAGUGGAAUUCCGAGUGUAGAGGUGAAAUUCGUAGAUAUUCGGAGGAACACCAGUGGCGAAGGCGGCUCACU
rnacentral:rRNA from 1 species